rnacentral:rRNA from 1 species
GACGAACGCUGGCGGCGUGCUUAACACAUGCAAGUCGAACGGUAACGCUUUGUGCUUGUGCUGUGCGGGUGAGGGGAACGCGGGUGUGUAAUGCGUGCAUCACCUGCUCUUGUUUCGGGGAUAAUCAGGGAAAUGGGGGUAAAAUACUAGAUAAGACAUUCCACUGCGGGGGGGGGUGUAGAGUGGGGUUGGGUGGUUUUGGAUGGGCUGACGGCCUAUCAGCUUGUUGGGGGGGUAGUGGCCAACCAAGGCGUCGACGGGUAGCCGGCCUGAGAGGGUGACCGGCCACAUUGGGACUGAGAUACGGCCCAGACUCCUACGGGAGGCAGCAGUGGGGAAUAUUGCAUAAUGGGCGGAAGCCUGAUGCAGCGACGCCGCGUGCGGGAUGACGGCCUUCGGGUUGUAAACCGCUUUCGCCUGUGACGAAGCGUGAGUGACGGUAAUGGGUGAAGAAGCACCGGCUAACUACGUG